GAUGAAGAACGCAGCGAAAUGCGAUAAGUAGUGUGAAUUGCAGAUUUCAGUGAAUCAUCGAAUCUUUGAACGCACAUUGCGCCCCUUGGUAUUCCAUGGGGCAUGCCUGUUCGAGCGUCAUUUGUACCUUCAAGCUCUGCUUGGUGUUGGGUGUUUGUCUCGCCUUUGCGUGUAGACUCGCCUUAAAACCAUUGGCAGCCGGCGUAUUGAUUUCGGAGCGCAGUACAUCUCGCGCUUUGCACUCAGAACGACGACGUCCAAAAGUACAUUUUUACACUCUUGACCUCGGAUCAGGUAGGGAUACCCGCUGAACUUAAGCAUAUCAAUAAGCGGAGGA
rnacentral:misc_RNA from 1 species